rnacentral:rRNA from 1 species
UACGAAGGGGGCUAGCGUUGCUCGGAAUCAUUGGGCGUAAAGCGCACGUAGGCGGCUUGUUAAGUCAGGGGUGAAAUCCUGGAGCUCAACUCCAGAACUGCCUUUGAUACUGGCGAGCUUGAGUCCGGGAGAGGUGAGUGGAACUGCGAGUGUAGAGGUGAAAUUCGUAGAUAUUCGCAAGAACACCAGUGGCGAAGGCGGCUCACUGGCCCGGUACUGACGCUGAGGUGCGAAAGCGUGGGGAGCAAACAGG